UACGUAGGGCGCAAGCGUUGUCCGGAUUUAUUGGGUUUAAAGGGUGCGUAGGUGGCUGAUUAAGUCAUGGGUGAAAGCCCGCAGCUUAACUGUGGAAUUGCCUGUGAUACUGAUUAGCUUGAGUGCGGUUGAGGCAGCUGGAAUUGGUGGUGUAGCGGUGAAAUGCAUAGAUACCACCAGGAACACCGAUUGCGAAGGCAGGUUGCUAAGCCGUAACUGACACUGAGGCACGAAAGCGUGGGGAGCAAACAGG
rnacentral:rRNA from 1 species